rnacentral:rRNA from 1 species
CGCGUAUGCAACCUACCUUAUACAGGGGAAUAGCCCGAAGAAAUUCGGAUUAAUGCUCCAUGGUUUAUCGAUAUGGCAUCGUAUUGAUAAUAAAGAUUUAUCGGUAUAAGAUGGGCAUGCGUAUCAUUAGCUAGUUGGUGUGGUAACGGCAUACCAAGGCAACGAUGAUUAGGGGUCCUGAGAGGGAGAUCCCCCACACUGGUACUGAGACACGGACCAGACUCCUACGGGAGGCAGCAGUGAGGAAUAUUGGUCAAUGGAGGCAACUCUGAACCAGCCAUGCCGCGUGCAGGAUGACGGUCCUAUGGAUUGUAAACUGCUUUUGUACAGGAAGAAACCUCCCUACGAGUAGGGACUUGACGGUACUGUAAGAAUAAGGAUCGGCUAACUCCGUGCCAGCAGCCGCGGUAAUACGGAGGAUCCGAGCGUUAUCCGGAAUUAUUGGGUUUAAAGGGUUCGUAGGCGGCUUUGUAAGUCAGUGGUGAAAUUUCCUAGCUUAACUAGGACACUGCCAUUGAUACUGCAGAGCUUGAAUAGUAUGGAAGUAACUAGAAUAUGUAGUGUAGCGGUGAAAUGCUUAGAUAUUACAUGGAAUACCAAUUGCGAAGGCAGGUUACUACGUAUUUAUUGACGCUGAUG